rnacentral:misc_RNA from 1 species
AACGGAGGGGACGAGUGUUAUUCACAGUGAUUGGGCGUAAAGGGUAAGUAGACGGCCUUUUAAGUUUUCAUCGUAAAUACCACUGCACAACAGUGGCAACGUGGAAAUACUGUUAGGCUUGAGUUUGUUGGAAGUAAGCGGUACUUUUAAAGUAGAAGUGAAAAGUAUGGAUAUUAAAGGGACCCUCAAUGGCGAAGGCAGCUUACUAUGGUAAACUGACGUUCAGGUACGGAGGCAUGGGGAUCAAACAGG